UACGUAGGGGGCAAGCGUUGUCCGGAAUUAUUGGGCGUAAAGAGCGCGUAGGCGGUCCGAUAAGUCGGCUGUGAAAGUCAGGGGCUCAACCCUUGGAAGCCGGCCGAUACUGUCGGACUAGAGUCCGGAAGAGGCGAGUGGAAUUCCUGGUGUAGCGGUGAAAUGCGCAGAUAUCAGGAGGAACACCAAUGGCGAAGGCAGCUCGCUGGGACGUGACUGACGCUGAGACGCGAAAGCGUGGGGAGCAAACAGG
rnacentral:rRNA from 1 species